rnacentral:rRNA from 1 species
GGGAUCAUUACACAAAUAUGAAGGCGGGCUGGAACCUCUCGGGGUUACAGCCUUGCUGAAUUAUUCACCCUUGUCUUUUGCGUACUUCUUGUUUCCUUGGUGGGUUCGCCCACCACUAGGACAAACAUAAACCUUUUGUAAUUGCAAUCAGCGUCAGUAACAAAUUAAUAAUUACAACUUUCAACAACGGAUCUCUUGGUUCUGGCAUCGAUGAAGAACGCAGCGAAAUGCGAUAAGUAGUGUGAAUUGCAGAAUUCAGUGAAUCAUCGAAUCUUUGAACGCACAUUGCGCCCUUUGGUAUUCCAAAGGGCAUGCCUGUUCGAGCGUCAUUUGUACCCUCAAGCUUUGCUUGGUGUUGGGCGUCUUGUCUCUAGCUUUGCUGGAGACUCGCCUUAAAGUAAUUGGCAGCCGGCCUACUGGUUUCGGAGCGCAGCACAAGUCGCACUCUCUAUCAGCAAAGGUCUAGCAUCCAUUAAGCCUUUUUUCAACUUUUGACC